GGGUCGGUAGCUCAGCUGGUAGAGCAACAGCCUUUUAAGCUGAUGGUCCCGGGUUCGACCCCCGGCCGACCCA
rfam:Candidatus Peregrinibacteria bacterium RIFCSPLOWO2_01_FTLL_39_12 rifcsplowo2_01_scaffold_6216, whole genome shotgun sequence.